GACGAACGCUGGCGGCGUGCUUAACACAUGCAAGUCGAACGGAAAGGCCCUGCUUUUGUGGGGUGCUCGAGUGGCGAACGGGUGAGUAACACGUGAGUAACCUGCCCUUGACUUUGGGAUAACUUCAGGAAACUGGGGCUAAUACCGGAUAGGAGCUCCUGCUGCAUGGUGGGGGUUGGAUAGUUUCGGCGGUUGGGGAUGGACUCGCGGCUUAUCAGCUUGUUGGUGGGGUAGUGGCUUACCAAGGCUUUGACGGGUAGCCGGCCUGGGAGGGUGACCGGCCACAUUGGGACUGAAAUGCGGCCCAGACUCCUACGGGAGGCAGCAGUGGGGAAUAGUGCACAAUGGGCGGAAGCCUGAUGCAGCAACGCCGCGUGCGGGAUGACGGCCUGCGGGUUGUAAACCGCUUUCGCCUGUGACGAAGCGUGAGUGACGGUAAUGGGUAAAGAAGCACCGGCUAACUACGUG
rnacentral:rRNA from 1 species